GGAGCAGCAACGAUGUUACGCAGCAGGGCAGUCGCCCUAAAACAAAGUUAGAUGCUUUGCUGUGCGCACAAA
rnacentral:sRNA from 1 species